rnacentral:tRNA from 1 species
GCCCCGGUAGGCCAAUUGGCAGAGCCAACAGAUUCAAGUCCUGUUCAGUGUGGGUUCGAAUCCCACCCGGGGUA